rnacentral:lncRNA from 1 species
UUGGCAGGAGCAUGUGACUGGAAUCUUAUGAGCCUGGGAGUAUUGGAAUAUUUGGGAUUCAGUUGAGAGAGAAACUCUCUCUCUGGAACUGAAGAGGAAAGGAGAGAGAAGUGUGGCUGAAUCUGUCAAAAGAUCAAUUCCCAAGACAUUAGCCUGUGAAGAUCCUUUGGCUGUGGUGAGGAUUUAUUCUUCAAUCAUCUGCUGGUCAGGGACUGAGGAGCUGUCUUCAACUUGGAGGAGUUAUUAUCUGUGGAUAUUUCACCUUGGCUUCUUGUUUUGGCUCCCAGAGACUCUAUUAUUUGCCUUAUUGGAGCCUGAAUUUUCCCUGGCACAAAGGACAUAUGAGACAGGAGAGCGACAUGAAUUCAGAUGUGAUUUGAGAGCCAUGGGGAAGUUCUUCAAGUUGGAGCAUGGAACUCAUCAGCUCAGCAAAAUUAUAGCAUUCAGGAAGAACCCAGCACCAGGGAGCAAUUAUCCUGUGUUCAUCUCUGCAAACCAAUCACUUUUAGCAACUAACUAGGAAUCUUCACCGGUGACUCAAGAUCAAAACAGCCAUUUGUACUUGAAAUAAUUGUUCAAAGCUUUUGAAUGCUAACUUCAAAGAAUUAACGUGGUUCCAUCUGGAAAAUGGGUAUAUGAGUAUCUACUGCAGAAGUUCCAUGAAGCCAGCUUAGCUUAUGACUUUCUCUUGAGAUUUCCAUAUAUAAAGUCUUUAGGGACUGAGAGUAGCUAAUGCCAGACAGGUCAUCUGUAGCCCAGGCAAAUAUCAAAAGUAAAUGACA